AAACUUAGGAUAAUACCCCCUAAACCGAAG
rnacentral:tRNA from 1 species